GAAGGACUAGGAGAUGUGCCUGCAGUCCCUCAAGGGGAGUCAAACAUCAAGAGGCUACAGGGCGCCGGGUGCGGUGGCUCACGUCUGUAAUGCCGGCACUUCAGGAGGUCGAGGCGGGCGGAUCAUCUGACGUCAGGAGUUUGAGACCAGCCUGGCCAACGUGGUGAAACCCUGUCUCUACUAAUAAUAAAAAACUAGCUGGGUGAGGUGGCUCAUGCCUGUAAUCCCAG
rnacentral:lncRNA from 1 species